rnacentral:rRNA from 1 species
UACGUAGGGUGCAAGCGUUAAUCGGAAUUACUGGGCGUAAAGCGUGCGCAGGCGGUGAUGUAAGACAGAUGUGAAAUCCCCGGGCUUAACCUGGGAACUGCAUUUGUGACUGCAUUGCUGGAGUGCGGCAGAGGGGGAUGGAAUUCCGCGUGUAGCAGUGAAAUGCGUAGAUACGCGGAGGAACACCGAUGGCGAAGGCAAUCCCCUGGGCCUGCACUGACGCUCAUGCACGAAAGCGUGGGGAGCAAACAGG